rnacentral:rRNA from 1 species
UAGAGUAGUAAAUGAUAGGUUCAGGAAACUUAAAGAAUUUGGCGGUAGUUAUUCUAAACAGAGGAAUAUGUUUUUUAAUUGAUAGUCCCCAUUUAUCUUACUUAUUCUUAUUUACUUUGUAUACCUCCGUCUUAAAAAGUUUCUUUAAUGUAUACUUUAUUGUUCUUUAAUGAAAAAAGUCAGGUCAAGGUGCAGGAUAUGGAUGAGUUAAAAUGUAUUACAGUGAAGUUAUUUUCGGAUUGUAAAUGAAAUUAAGCAGGAAGGUGGAUUUGUUAGUAAAUCGACUAAUUAUAAUUGUUUGAAAAA